rnacentral:rRNA from 1 species
GACGAGCGCUGGCGGCGUGCUUAACACAUGCCAGUCGAACGGAAAGGCCCUGCUUUUGUGGGGUGCUCGAGUGGCGAACGGGUGAGUAACACGUGAGUAACCUGCCCUUGACUUUGGGAUAACUUCAGGAAACUGGGGCUAAUACCGGAUAGGAGCUCCUGCUGCAUGGUGGGGGUUGGAAAGUUUCGGCGGUUGGGGAUGGACUCGCGGCUUAUCAGCUUGUUGGUGGGGUAGUGGCUUACCAAGGCUUUGACGGGUAGCCGGCCUGAGAGGGUGACCGGCCACAUUGGGACUGAGAUACGGCCCAGACUCCUACGGGAGGCAGCAGUGGGGAAUAUUGCACAAUGGGCGGAAGCCUGAUGCAGCAACGCCGCGUGCGGGAUGACGGCCUUCGGGUUGUAAACCGCUUUCGCCUAUGACGAAGCGUGAGUGACGGUAAUGGGUAAAGAAGCACCGGCUAACUACGUG